CGUAGGGUGCAAGCGUUGUCCGGAAUUAUUGGGCGUAAAGAGCUCGUAGGCGGCCUGUCGCGUCGAUUGUGAAAACCCGGGGCUCAACCCCGGGCCUGCGUUCGAUACGGGCAGGCUAGAGUACGGCAGGGGGAGACUGGAAUUCCUGGUGUAGCGGUGAAAUGCGCAGAUAUCAGGAGGAACACCGGUGGCGAAGGCGGGUCUCUGGGCCGUUACUGACGCUGAGGAGCGAAAGCGUGGGGAGCGAACAGGAUUAGAUACCCUGGUAGUCCACGCCGUAAACGUUGGGCGCUAGGUGUGGGGAACCUUCCACGUUCUCCGUGCCGCAGCUAACGCAUUAAGCGCCCCGCCUGGGGAGUACGGCCGCAAGGCUA
rnacentral:rRNA from 1 species